AACGCAUAUUGCACCCUCUGGUCAGUCCGGAGGGUAUACCUGUUUGAGUGUCAUUAAUGUAUCAAAUCAAGCAUUCUUGCUUGGUCUUGGAUAUUGAGGGUUGCUGGAGCUUUCAAUAAUCAGCUUCCUUUAAAUUAAUUAGCUUGGAAUGUAUAAGCCAUUUUAGCUUAGGCUAAUAUGAAUACUGUGUAUUAAAUGCUUUUGCUGAAAGUGUGCUUGUCUAAGCUUAUAACUGUCUCUAAAGUGAGACUGCCUUGAGGGCAUUAAAUUCUUAAUCGUGACCUCAAAUCAGGUAGGAUUACCCGCUGAACUUAA
rnacentral:misc_RNA from 1 species